rnacentral:piRNA from 1 species
GCAUUGCGGACGAUUAUGACAAGAAG